rnacentral:rRNA from 1 species
AUUGAACGCUGGCGGCAGGCCUAACACAUGCAAGUCGAGCGGAGCGGCGGACGGGUGAGUAAUGCCUAGGAAUCUGCCUGGCAGUGGGGGAUAACGUCCGGAAACGGGCGCUAAUACCGACUACUCUCAGACGAGCCUAGGUAGGAUUAGCUAGUUGGUGGGGUAAAGGCCUACCAAGGCGACGAUCCGUAACUGGUCUGAGUGGAUGAUCAGUCAAACAGGAACUGAGACAAGGGCCAGACUCCAACGGGAGGCAGCAGGAGGGAAUAUUACGCAAUGGGAGAAAGCCUGGCGGAGAAAAGCCGCGUGAGUGAUGAAGGUCAUCGGAUAGUAAAACUCUGUUAUUAGGGAAGCGGUACCGAAUCAGAAAGCCACGGAUAACUACGUGCCAGCAGCCGCGGUAAUAC